AGAUGGUUAGCUUGGAGCCUACUUUUUCAUUUUUGUUCUAUGUGUGUCUCACCUGAAGUUUAAUAGUGUGCACUUCUCAGAUAGAUGUGAUUUGUUUUUUGGGAAAGGACAUAUGACAUAGCUCUGUUUCCCUACUAGAACUUGCAAAUGAACUUUUAGUUUUCAUUGGAAUGAUGUUGGUGACUACAGAAAGAGAUAACAGUUAUCACAUAAGGAAGCUACAUGACUCACUCUUUGCUGCCCCACUGCUUGUCUUA
rnacentral:sRNA from 1 species